GGCGAGAUAGCUCAGUUGGUAGAGCAGCGGACUGAAAAUCCGUGUGUCGUCGGUUCGAUUCCGACUCUCGCCA
rnacentral:tRNA from 1 species